AUCGGUUUGUGGUACAGACCUAUUUAUGUAAGCCAUUUUAGUAAAGUUGUUCAGCAAAAAGCGAUAAUCCACUAUCACUUCUUCGACGAAUUUCCUUCUUAAAUACGUGCCCAUAAGUACAUGCUGGCAAGCAGACCCGCUAUCGCCAAAGGCGGUUUUCAACUUAAUGAAGGAAGUACAAAUGUCUAAUAAAGUAACUGGUUUAGUAAAAUGGUUUGACGCGGGUAAAGGUUUUGGUUUCAUCACUCCGGCUGACGGCAGCAAAGAUGUGUUUGUACAUUUUUCCGCCAUCCAGAGCAACGAUUUUAAAACCCUGGACGAAGGUCAGCGCGUAGAGUUCACCAUUGAGCAGGGUCAGAAAGGCCCGUCUGCUGCUAACGUGGUUGCCCUGUAAGACACGCGCCAAGGGCUGUUGGCGGGGGUGAAGCCCACCGUCUCG
rnacentral:sRNA from 1 species